rfam:Strongylocentrotus purpuratus Contig119226_fixed, whole genome shotgun sequence.
GGUGCCAUGGUGUAAUGGUUAGCACUCGAGACUCUGAAUCUCGCGAUCCGAGUUCAAAUCUCGGUGGGACCU